ensembl:misc_RNA
GUGAUUGAACCGGAGUUUUCCAUCUAUCUACAGAACAAGUUCUGGGGCUCCGGCUGCCGCGCAGGCCUGCUCACAGGGCUCUGCCAGCGUGGUUACACCCUGACAUGGAGGGACCAGCUGAGGGUGAGGAAGUGCUUUGCUCUCCAUGCCCAUCCCAUGCUUGUUGGUU